rnacentral:rRNA from 1 species
GGCUAAUCUCCUGCCUGCAGCCGCGGUAAUACGAGGGAUGCAAGCGUUAUCCGGAAUCAUUGGGCGUAAAGCGCCUGUAGGUUGUUUGUUAAGUCUGUUGUUAAAGGCUAGGGCUCAACCCUAGAAAUGCGAUGGAAACUAAUAGACUAGAGUAUGGUAGGGGUAGAGGGAAUUUCUAGUGUAGCGGUGAAAUGCGUAGAUAUUAGAAAGAACACCGGUGGCGAAGGCGCUCUACUGGACCAUUACUGACACUCAGAGGCGAAAGCUAGGGGAGCAAAAGGGAUUAGAUACCCCUGUAGUCCUAGCCGUAAACGAUGGAUACUAGAUGUUGCGCAUUACGUGCAGUGUCGUAGCUAACGCGUUAAGUAUCCCGCCUGGGGAGUACGCUCGCAAGGGUGAAACUCAAAGGAAUUGACGGGGGCCCGCACAAGCGGUGGAGCAUGUGGUUUAAUUCGAUGCAACGCGAAGAACCUUACCAGGGCUUGACAUACUACAGAUCCCUUUGAAAAAAGGGAGUGCCUUCGGGAAUGUAGAUACAGGUGGUGCAUGGCUGUCGUCUGCUCGUGUCGUGAGAUGUUGGGUUAACUCCCGCAACGAGCGCAACCCUUAUUUUUAGUUACACAAUUCCGUUGGGUUAUCUAGAAAGACUGCCGGUGACAAACCGGAGGAAGGUGAGGAUGACGUCAAGUCAGCAUGCCCCUUAUGUCCUGGGCUACACACGUGCUACAAUGGAUAAGACAAAUGAGUCGCGAGCUCGCGAGAGUCAGCUAAUCUCAU